rnacentral:lncRNA from 1 species
UCUUCUCACCUCUCAUUUUACAAAUGAGGCAUUAUCUCUAUAUACAGACAUGUAAUGUAAGUGAUAGGGAAUUUCCAAACCUUUAUAAAGUUAUUUAACAUUUAUUAAAUCCUUUAUAGCAGCAACUGUGGAUAACAGGGUCCCUACCUAUGAAGGGCAAGAAGCUAUUCAGACAUUAUUAAACUAAUAGUAUAGAUGUACUUUUAAAAGUCAUUUUAAAUUCCACAUUUAAUACUCUAGAGCUAGGUGCUAUGUUUAUUCAAAACUGUAGUAUGUAAAACAUUUACAAAUAGUCCCAUGGAGGACUCACAGAUAUUUUAAAUUUAGGAUGUGGCUUUGACAUUGACAGUGCAUAAGAAAAAAGGUGUAUCAACUAUAUAUUGGCAACUUAAUGUGAAAGAGAAUUUUACUUUAGCAAAUACUUUUACAUUAAGGAAAAUGUCCUUAAAUUUUAUUUUAGUAUACUUAGGGGAAAAAAUAGUGAUUCCUUUUAUAUAGUUCUCAAGGAUUAAAAUUUACUCCAAAGAUCAUGGUUACAAAAUACAUGGUAAAGAAUGGUUUCAAAAUACUUGUAUUUUUGUUUUCAAUUAAAUUCCCCCAAAUUGAUUUUCUUU